UACGUAGGGGGCAAGCGUUGUCCGGAUUUAUUGGGCGUAAAGAGCGUGUAGGCGGCCAGGUAGGUCCGCUGUGAAAACUCGAGGCUUAACCUCGAGAUGUCGGUGGAAACCAUCUGGCUAGAGUCCGGAAGAGGCGAGUGGAAUUCCUGGUGUAGCGGUGAAAUGCGCAGAUAUCAGGAGGAACACCAAUUGCGAAGGCAGCUCGCUGGGACGUUACUGACGCUGAGACGCGAAAGCGUGGGGAGCAAACAGG
rnacentral:rRNA from 1 species